UAGGGAAUCUUCCACAAUGGGCGAAAGCCUGAUGGAGCAACGCCGCGUGUGUGAUGAAGGCUUUCGGGUCGUAAAGCACUGUUGUAUGGGAAGAACAGCUAGAAUAGGAAAUGAUUUUAGUUUGACGGUACCAUACCAGAAAGGGCGGCUAAAUACGNGCCAG
rnacentral:rRNA from 1 species